UAAUAUAACCCUGCAUUUUAAUUAAACAAAUGACGAGACCCAAGCAAAACGGUAGGAACCACCAUAAUUGUGAGAAAAUGGAAACAAAAGUGGUGGACCCUCAAUUAUUGUAAUUUCAACGGAGACCAUAGAUUUUGAGAGAGUUUCCAAAGAUUUUGAGAG